UGAAGCUAUUUUUGUUGUAAGUUCAAGUCUUACCGUGUGCAUAUAAAAGUGUAGCUUUAGC
rnacentral:tRNA from 5 species